AACGAACGCUGGCGGCGCGCUUAAUACAUGCAAGUCGAACGAGAAGGUGUAGCAAUACACUUGUAAAGUGGCGAACGGGUGAGGAAUACAUGGGUAACCUACCCUCGAGUGGGGAACGAACCAGCCGAAAGGUUAGGCUAAUACCGCGUACGCUUCCGGGUCGUUCGGAUUCGGAAGGAAAGUCAUACCGUGGGUAUGACGCUCAAGGAUGGGCUCAUGUCCUAUCAGCUUGUUGGUAGGGUAACGGCCUACCAAGGCUCCGACGGGUAGCUGGUCUGAGAGGAUGACCAGCCACACUGGGA
rnacentral:rRNA from 1 species